AAUCUUCGACAAUGGGCGAAAGCCUGAUGGAGCAACCCCGCGUGAGUGAAGAAGGUUUUCGGGUCGUAAAACUCUGUUGUAAGGGAAGAACAAGUACAGUAGAAACUGGCUUUACCUUGACGGUAUCUGCUUAGAAAGCCACGGCUAACUACGUGCCAGCAGCCGCGGUAAUACGUAGGGUGCAAGCGUUGUUCGGAAUUAAUGGGCGUAAAGCGCGCGUAGGCGGUCCUUUAAGUCAGAUGUGAAAGCCCAGGGCUCAACCGUGGAGGGUCAUUGGAAACUGGGGGACUUGAGUGCAGAAGAGGAAAGUGGAAUUCCAAGUGUAGCGGUGAAAUGCGUAGAGAUUUGGAGGAACACCAGUGGCGAAGGCAACUUUCUGGUCUGUAACUGACGCUGAGGCGCGAAAGCGUGGGGAGCAAACA
rnacentral:rRNA from 1 species